rnacentral:tRNA from 1 species
AAAGGGAGACCUAAUUCAGGUAGGAGACGAAAAAAAAGUAGUCCCUACCAAGAAUCAAUCCCAAAAGGUCGGAGCGAGGCGAAAUUGGCUUUCAAACUAGGUUCUGGGUUCAAACAAGACCUGAAUCAGGAACAAGGGCUAUUAGCUCAGGUGGUUAGAGCGCACCCCUGAUAAGGGUGAGGUCCCUGGUUCGAGUCCAGGAUGGCCCACCUGUACAGGUGGCAAAAAGAAAGAAAAGAAGCGAGGAAUCAGCACCUUAUCUUACUUAUAUAGUAAGAGAGAAUGCUGGCUCUGAGUUCAGAGUCCAGAGGAACCUUGAAAACUGCAUAGAGCUAGGUGGAAAAGCCAAAAAAGAAGACCGCAAG